rnacentral:rRNA from 1 species
UACGUAGGUGGCAAGCGUUGUCCGGAUUUACUGGGCGUAAAGAGCACGCAGGCGGUCGGAUUAGUCGCGUGUGAAAGCCCCCGGCUCAACUGGGGAGGGUCACGCGAUACUGUUCGACUCGAAGGCAGGAGAGGGAAGUGGAAUUCCCGGUGUAGUGGUGAAAUGCGUAGAUAUCGGGAGGAACACCAGUGGCGAAGGCGACUUCCUGGCAUGUUCUUGACGCUGAGGCGCGAAAGCUAGGGGAGCAAACGGG